UACGGGGGGGGCAAGCGUUGUUCGGAAUUACUGGGCGUAAAGGGCUCGUAGGCGGCCAACUAAGUCGGAUGUGAAAUCCCGAGGCUCAACCUCGGGUCUGCAUCCGAUACUGCCCGGCUAGAGGUAGGUAGGGGAGAUCGGAAUUCCUGGUGUAGCGGUGAAAUGCGCAGAUAUCAGGAGGAACACCGGUGGCGAAGGCGGAUCUCUGGGCCUUACCUGACGCUCAGGCGCGAAAGCUAGGGGAGCGAACUGG
rnacentral:rRNA from 1 species